rnacentral:rRNA from 1 species
GGACUACAAGGGUUUCUAAUCCGUUUUGCUCCCCACGCUUUCGUGCCUCAAUGUCAGAAACAGAAUAGUUAACUGCCUUCGCCUGAUUGAUGUUCUUCCUUAUAUCUAAGCAUUUCACCGCUCCACAAGGAAUUCCGUUAACUUCUCCUGCACUCUAGCCUUAUAGUAUUACUAGCUUUCCUAAGGUUGGGCCUUAGUUUUCUACUAGUAACUUUUAAAACCAUCUACGCACCCUUUACGCCCAAUAAUUCCGGAUAACGUUCGCCACCUAUGUCUUACCGCGGCUGCUGGCAC